GUGAGUUGUGGAGGUGGGUGAGGCUGGAGGCCCAGGCAGCUCUAGGGGCGUAAGCUCCAUGCCCCCUAGAUAAAGAAACCUGGACACUUCCUGUAAGUCUCUCUGACUCCUGCAAUGCUGGGUGUAGGAAUACUUGCUUUGACUGUCCAGCCCAGUAUCACAGGAAUGCAGCCCAGCCCCACUUUGGGGGCAAGAAGGAGCUGAGAGCUGAGAAAUCAUAAUAAAACACCCCUCCCGGGAAGCACUCGCAUGAAUCACGGUUCAG
rnacentral:lncRNA from 1 species